rnacentral:tRNA from 1 species
GUCGACGUAGCUCAGUGGUAGAGCAUCCGCCUGUCGAGCGGAGGGCCGCGGGUUCGAUUCCCGUCGUCGGCG